rnacentral:lncRNA from 1 species
GUGUCUGUAUGGGUACAAAAAUGUUUCUGAAAUUAGUUGAAGUAUUGUAAUGAUGAAAAUUACCCAGCAUAUAAAACAUUUCGAAGAAAUCCUAUGUCCUGCAUAGGAACCCUGUAGUUGUAAAAAAAAAUACAAGUAUACCUCAAUGGGGUACAGGGAUAUUAACCUACAUGUAAAACUAAGAAAAAAUUAUUCAAGUGUAAAAUGUAGGUCAAAGUGAUUAGAAUGUAACAGACCUAUUUCUAAUACUAUUUCUAAUAUUUGAUUUAUAGCAUGCUAAAACUUAUAUCCAAGUUACAA